ensembl:lncRNA
CGCCGGCCGCGACCUGAGGCCGUUAGAGGGAGGAGACGGGCGGCCCGAGGCGGGAGCUGCGGCCGACAACCGCGGGAACGCCAGGCCCGGGCAGCACCCCGAGAGGCCUCUGGGGGUCGCCAAGAUCCCCACAGGCGAAAGGAACGCACAGUGCGGGGCCGGCAUUUGCUGCAGGGAGCCAGAGAAGCGCGCAGUUGAGCGGGAAGCCACGCUCCCUCGCUUCUUCCCCACGCAGCGCCUCCGGGGCUUUCCUCCAGCUUCCCGCUUGUGCGCUCGGCCCCGCUCUUCGCACACUUUUUUCCUGUCUGAGGGCUCCGGUGGUGGUCCUGGCUCCACCGCCGCCUGCCUUUGUGCCCGACCGUGCAGAUUUAGAGUCUCGAAGUCGCUGCCUUACGUCGGCCGUGGGGCCUCCGCCCACGAGUGCGGAGCCGGCGCGGCCUGCCCGGAGGAAACGGCCAGGUUAAAGUGUGGUACAGAAUAAGUCUUGGGACACAAGAGGCACUUGAGAGCUGAGAUCCAGUAUGAAAAAUAAGAUGAAUUAACUUACUAGGCUGCAACAAUAUUUACAUUCCUAAGUUGCCCCAAAUUUGUUUCACAUUUUGAGCUCAAAAGGCUUGUGGGAACUUUAGGGAAACUCCACUGGCAUCUUUUAAAUUUUGCUUACUGUCCCCAAGAGGAAUAGCAUCAGAAUUUAACAGAAAUGGCACUAUCUGGCCUACAGUAUCAAUAAUCUUAUCACAGAUCCACCCCCUGUGGUUUGCUGUUAAGACUCUUUGAGGGUUCCAGGUCACUGUCAACUUCAUUUGAGUUCACAGUUGUAGCUUCACAAAUAAAAAUAAUCUUAGUUGAUGGUCUGCAA